GUUCUCGUAGCUUAAUAAUAAAGCAUGACACUGAAGAUGUCAAGAUGGCUAACUACUAAUAACCCGAGAACA
rnacentral:tRNA from 1 species